rnacentral:lncRNA from 1 species
AAAAGCAGGGCCAUAUUUUUCAUAUUGAAAUUUAUAACCAAACUUUUAUACAAACCAUAAACCACUUCGAAACUAUUCACAUCAAAAAGGAAAUCACAAAGAAGAUAAACUCUUAGCCAUCCGGCCGUACUCAAGACCCUUCUCAGGAUUAUCAUCUUCUCCCAAAAAUCUUUCUCUUUAAGUUUCACUCCGAGUUCUCCUUCUUAGACCCCUCCUCUUCAGCUUCUCACCAGGGUCUGAAAUGGUUUUCCCAAACUGGGAUGAGACUACGUCUCAGCGAGUUCUACCCCACUAAGCCCGAUUAGAUAAACUAUUAUACUACAGGCUGCCUAAACACGCACAGGGCAGAGGACUUACCUUGGCCUCUGAUCCCACCUGCAAGUCAGUACAAUUCAUAAUAGGCACCCAAGUAAUCAUAUCACCGAUCGAAGCAUCGAUCAAAUCGACUUAGUCGAUUAUAUUCCAACAAGACCACUCAAGGUCAUUUCCAUUCAGGCAAUCAAUUCACCACAUCAAAUCAAAGCAUCGACCUAGUCGAUUACAUGCCAAACAAAUCAAUCCCCACUGUGAGAUAUUUAAAAACUAGGCCACGUGUAUUCUCCAGGAUGACCUUUCAAGUCUCCGAGUUCACGUGCCUCGAACCUUGGGCCCACGUGCAUUCUCUCAGGCGACCUUUUCGUCAAAGUGAUGAAUCAAGUCACCGAGCCACGUGCCCUUUUAGAUGCCUGUACUUAGUCACAAAGCUCCAUCAAUGCUCUCGGGCGUCGAUUCGCCAAGGUGACGUACAGUGAACACUUUACUAUGCUCUCGGGCGUCUUUUUCGCCAAUGUGACGCACAGUGAACACUUUACUAUGCUCUCGGGCGUCUUUUUCGCCAAGGUGAUACACUGAUCACAGAGCCAACGUAAACAAUUCAAUAUGCUCUCGGGCGUCUUUUCGCCGUGGUGAUACACUGAUCACAGAGCCAACAUAAACAAUUCAAUAUGCUCUCGGGCGUCUUUUUCGCCGUGGUGAUACACUGAUCACAGAGCCAACAUAAACAAUUCAAUAUAAUCAACCACUAAACUCACGUGCAUUUUCCAGGUGAUAUUCCAAUACCCAAUGAUUUCUCAAUCAAUUAAUUAAAUCAACUCAACAAAGCAUUAUCAAUGCUAAAUAACAUACUUGGUCAAUUCAAUCUCAAUCAAUUCCAAUCAAAUUAGGGUAAACCCUAAA